UAAUUUGUGUGUGCAUGUGCAUGUCUGUAUCUGUAUAUGCAUGUAUAAGCACCACAUAUGUGCACAUGCCCA
rnacentral:miRNA from 1 species